GACGAACCGUGCGAACGUUAUUCGGAAUCACUGGGCUUAAAGCGCGUGUAGGCGGAUGGGAACGUCGGCUUCUGAAAGCCCCCGGCUCAACCGGGGAAGUGGGGCCGAAACGACCCGUCUCGAGGGACGUAGGGGGAUCUGGAACUUCCGGUGGAGCGGUGAAAUGCGUUGAGAUCGGAAGGAACGCCCGUGGCGAAAGCGAGAUCCUGGACGUUUUCUGACGCUGAGACGCGAAAGCUAGGGGAGCAAACGGGAUUAGAUACCCCGGUAGUCCUAGCCGUAAACGAUGAGCACUAGGUAGGGGGCUCGCCGAUGGGCUCUCUGCCGUAGGGAAACCGUGAAGUGCUCCGCCUGGGGAGUAUGGUCGCAAGGCUGAA
rnacentral:rRNA from 1 species